UACGUAGAGUGCACGACGUGUCCGGAACUUAGGUUAGGGUCGGUAAGGGUACGCAGGCGGAUAGUAAAGUCAAGCGUGAAAGGUGUCGGCUUAACCGACAGACUGCGUUUGAAACUGAUUAUCUUGAGUGUAACAGAGGAGAGUGGGAAUUUCCUAGUGUAGUGGUGAAAAUACGUAGAUAUUAGGAAGAACACCAGUGGCGAAGGCGACUCUCUGGGUUAAACACUGACGCUGAGGUACGAAAGCUGGGGGGAGCAAACGGGAUUAGAUACCCGCGUAGUCCCUGAGACG
rnacentral:rRNA from 1 species